UACGAGGGGUGCAAGCGUUAUUCGGAGUUACUGGGCGUAAAGAGUGCGUAGGCGGUCUGCUAAGUUGAUUGUUAAAUUCCUCGGCUCAACUGAGGAUAGGCAUUCAAAACUGACGGACUAGAGGACAAGAGAGAAGGGUGGAAUUCUCGGAGUAGCGGUAAAAUGCGUAGAUCUCGAGAGGAAUAUCGGUUGCGAAGGCGGCCCUUUGGCUUGUAUCUGACGCUAAAGCACGAAAGCGUGGGGAGCAAACAGG
rnacentral:rRNA from 1 species